UACGUAGGGGGCUAGCGUUGUCCGGAAUCAUUGGGCGUAAAGCGCGUGUAGGCGGUCCGGUAAGUCCGCUGUGAAAGUCGGGGGCUCAACCCUCGGAUGCCGGUGGAUACUGUCGGGCUUGAGUACGGAAGAGGCGAGUGGAAUUCCCGGUGUAGUGGUGAAAUGCGUAGAUAUCGGGAGGAACACCAGUGGCGAAGGCGACUACCUGGCCUGUUUCUUGACGCUGAGGCGCGAAAGCUAGGGGAGCAAACGGG
rnacentral:rRNA from 1 species